UGAGGAAUAUUGGUCAAUGGGCGAUGGCCUGAACCAGCCAAGUAGCGUGAAGGAUGACUGCCCUAUGGGUUGUAAACUUCUUUUAUAAAGGAAUAAAGUCGGGUAUGCAUACCCGUUUGCAUGUACUUUAUGAAUAAGGAUCGGCUAACUCCGUGCCAGCAGCCGCGGUAAUACGGAGGAUCCGAGCGUUAUCCGGAUUUAUUGGGUUUAAAGGGAGCGUAGAUGGAUGUUUAAGUCAGUUGUGAAAGUUUGCGGCUCAACCGUAAAAUUGCAGUUGAUACUGGAUGUCUUGAGUGCAGUUGAGGCAGGCGGAAUUCGUGGUGUAGCGGUGAAAUGCUUAGAUAUCACGAAGAACUCCGAUUGCGAAGGCAGCCUGCUAAGCUGCAACUGACAUUGAGGCUCGAAAGUGUGGGUAUCAAACAGGAUUAGAUACCCUGGUAGUCCACACGGUAAACGAUGAAUACUCGCUGUUUGCGAUAUACGGCAAGCGGCCAAGCGAAAGCAUUAAGUAUUCCACCUGGGGAGUACGCCGGCAACGGUGAAACUCAAAGGAAUUGACGGGGGCCCGCACAAGCGGAGGAACAUGUGGUUUAAUUCGAUGAUACGCGAGGAACCUUACCCGGGCUUAAAUUGCAAAUGAAUUAUGGGGAAACCCAUACGCCGCAAGGCAUUUGUGAAGGUGCUGCAUGGUUGUCGUCAGCUCGUGCCGUGAGGUGUCGGCUUAAGUGCCAUAACGAGCGCAACCCUUAUCUUCAGUUACUAACAGGUUAUGCUGAGGACUCUGGAGAGACUGCCGUCGUAAGAUGUGAGGAAGGUGGGGAUGACGUCAAAUCAGCACGGCCCUUACGUCCGGGGCUACACACGUGUUACAAUGGGGGGUACAGAAGGCCGCUACCUGGUGACAGGAUGCCAAUCCCAAAAACCUCUCUCAGUUCGGAUCGAAGUCUGCAACCCGACUUCGUGAAGCUGGAUUCGCUAGUAAUCGCGCAUCAGCCAUGGCGCGGUGAAUACGUUCCC
rnacentral:rRNA from 1 species